AUCAGCUGAAACUGCCGGGGGCUUGGGAACCCCGAGGCAGUUCGCGAGCUUCGCAGUAUUGUGAAGCUGGAAGGACCCACUCUUCUCUUCGUCAUGGAAACAAAAAUUAAAGGGAAGAGAGUGCAAGACUUACAGAAUCACCUUGGCUUCGACGGGUGUUUUGCUGUAGAUAGUGUUGGUCUGAGUGGGGGCAUAGGCCUCUUU
rnacentral:rRNA from 1 species